AUACGUAGGUGGCAAGCGUUGUCCGGAAUUAUUGGGCGUAAAGCGCAUGUAGGCGGUAAUUUAAGUCUGUCGUGAAACUGCGGGGCUCAGCCCCGUAUGGCGAUGGAAACUGGGUUACUUGAGUGCAGGAGAGGAAAGGGGAACUCCCAGUGUAGCGGUGAAAUGCGGAGAUAUUGGGAAGAACACCGGUGGCGAAGGCGCCUUUCUGGACUGUGUCUGACGCUGAGAUGCGAAAGCCAGGGUAGCGAACGGGAUUAGAUACCCCGGUAGUCCUGGCCGUAAACGGUGGGUACUAGGUGUGGGAGGUAUCGACCCCUUCCGUGCCGGAGUUAACGCAAUAAGUACCCCGCCUGGGGAGUACGGCCGCAAGGCUUAAACUCAAAUGAAUUGACGGGG
rnacentral:rRNA from 1 species